CCACUUCUCUCCUUCUUUCUCUUCAUCGGGUGUUCUCGUGCCUCCUCCGGCGCUUCCUUUCCUAAGACGGCCGUCGGGCACUGAGAUCUCUUCCGGCAAUGGCCGGCUGCCGGCCCCUCUCUCUUCUCUCUCUCUCUCUCUCCAGCGAGGGCGUUUCCCUAUCUCUCCUUUCCCUUCUCCAGCGUCUCUCGGGUGCCGGCGAGGCCCCCUCUUCCUCUUGGAUCUGGGUUCAACCCCACAUCGAUCUCUCUCCCUCUUCCCGGCGCCGGUUCAACCCCCCUCUUCCUGGCUUUCCCUUCAAACAGUCGGCGCCUGUGUUCUCCCUCUCUUCUCCUUCCUCUCUCCCUCCCGGUUCCAUCUUCCCCCUCCCUCCCUCUCUUCAAACGGCGGAAGGUCGGACCCCUCUUUCUCUCUCUCUCUCUCUCUCUGUCUUUCUCUCUUUCUCCCCAUUCGCUGGUCCCUUUCGGCGGUGGACCAACCCUCCCUCUUUUCUUUUCUGCGCUCCGAUCCCCUCGGCUGAUUUCUUCGGUGGGCGACGGACGGUGGAAGCCGGAAUUUUUUCUCUCGAUGGUGUCUGAUCAUGUUGGCUACCUCUCGGUAACAUAUUCCAAUGAUAUUAAAGUUGAGGUCAGGACUCCUCAGCGCGACAAAUGUCAGCUAUCUGGGGAACAUUCUCGAGUCGUCCCGAAUCCUCGCGGACGCCCACCUCCUCCCGGUUCUCCUCGCCGCCCCGGUCGCUGCCGUCGCGUUCCUCCCCAUUGUCACCGGCGUCGUUCCUCAAAGCUCUCCCAGCGCGUCGAACCUUCCCGAGUCGUCUUGGACGCCCUGCUUUCUUCACCACCACGUCCCGCCGUUCUCUGCCAUCGCCUUCCUCCUUAUCGUCACCGACAUCGGCUUUCCCGCUCCAAUCUCCCUCAUGUGCUUUCCGCUCCAAUCUCCCUCAUGUGCUUUCCGCUUGCUCUGCUCACCGCCACCUCCCAUCGGUCUACGCCGUCUCCUUCCUCCCCAUCGUCACUGGCGUCGGUCUUCCCCUCUGAUUUGCCUCAGGUGUCUCGGUCGAGUGGGAGGCUCGAAGCGGCCGAAUGGAGAAGUUUAGACGAUGGCCAGGGGUUUGUGAAAAAACCCCUCCGAUUUCCCUCGGAUGCUCUCCUUCCGGCAGAUUUCAAAAAAAAAAAAAAAAAGACAAAAAGAAAAAAAUGAUGAAUCUAGGUGGGAAAGGACUUACCUUUUACUUUUUUCUUUUUUUUUUUGCCUUUCCUUUUCCGUUUUUUUUUGGGAGGUUCCCAGGUGUCUCAGUUGCAUGGGAGGCUUGGAGCCGCCGAAUGGGAAAGAACCACAGAAACCCAUCCCCUCUCUCCUUCCGGUAGAUCUCAAAAAAAGUGGAAGAAAUGAAAAGGAAAAAAAGCAAAAAGAAAAAAAAAUGAUCAAUCUAUGUUGGAAAAGCACUUACCUUUUAUUUAUUUAUUUUUUGACCUUUCCUUUGUUUUCACUGAUUUUUUCAGAUGUCUCGGUCGAGGGAAGGUUAAGCAGCCGAAUGGCAAGAUAUGGACGAUGGCUAGAGGUUUGCGUUGGCUAAGGAAAAAACUACAUUGUUGUUGGCCUUAGCUGGAAAGCUGAACUCAAAUUUGAAGGUCAAAAUCAUACAUAUUCUAUCUAUUUUCUUUAGUUUCAAAACAUAGAUCCCCCAUCUUCCUCUUUAAUAAUUUGAAACUAAUAUAAAUCAUCUACAAUGAGACCAUAGCUAUCAAGAAACGAGAAGGCAGCUAAUAUCAUGUCGAAUCCUGAUAUCAAUGUUUUUAUAAAGGUGAGAUAUAAAAUUUUAAUUAAAAUUUCUCUUCUAAAAUCUUUAAUCAUAGUGAGAUCUUCUAUUUGAAUUUAAAAUAAAUAGAACAAAGGGUUGGAGAUUGUCAAUAAAUUUUUUUUUGCUUUUCUCUCAUGCAAGCAACUAUAAUAGGUGGACAAGAAACCUAUAUUGUCACAAAGUAUAUAUUGAAGGCACAUGCUGUAUAUUUCAAAUAUGUACUAAGGAAUGUUUAUAGAAUAAAAUGAAUAUUUCAUAGGCACUGUUCAUCUCUUUAGUCACUUUCUUUAAAUUAUAUAGGUCUUAUGAUUGGAAAGUUAUAUCGAUAUUAUGGUAGGAGAUAAAAUAUAGAGAGAUAUCUCUGGUGGCUGAAGGAAGCAUAUCACGACAGAUAUAGUAAUUGGUAAAAUGAACAACUAAGUUCAAAAUUCUUUUGAGUGAGGCUUCAUAGAAUAUAUGUGUCCAUCUGAUAUCUCCAUAUGUAAAUGAAUUGGGCUUGGGAUCUUUGGUUGCAUUCUAUAGGUGAGAUACUCAUCGGACAUGCAAGAGUUCUGUUUAUGGAUGAGAUAUCAAUUAGUCCGGAGAGCUCUUUGAUUAAACAAUAGGAAAUGAACUUUUCAUCCUCUAUGACAAGAGCAAGAGCCAUUAUGACGUUCUGAUGACAUCAAAAUAUAAUGUUAGCAAGAAGAAGCUUUAAAAAGCUAACUUUUAGAAAUUCCUUAAGAAAAUGAAUUUUGAUCAUUUUGAAGCUCCUGUCCUCUUCAAACACAAGAUAUGCUUUUGUAUCCUGUGCGGUGUUAUAUAAUUUCAACGUAGAUUUUGAAGAUUCCAAUGACAAUUGUAGAGGUUGGAGUAUGGGUUUUGGCAACUUACUAUGUCAUUGGAUUCCAUCCAAAUGUAGGAAGGUAAACAAAUCAUUCUGUCUUAGUUAUGUUGACCUGACAAAUUAAAAUAGAAUGAUUUGUUACCUUCUGACGUUUGGAAGGUAAACAAGCAAGAUUAAAGGUCUAUUGUGGAUUCAGUUGAUGUGAAAUAGUAAGGCAAGUAAGUCCUCACCGUUCAAUCCAGUACUUGACCUUCAACAAAAACUGUUCAUUGUCCUCUUUUGCAGCUCUAACCAAUGUCUCUAGCAAUGUCUUCCUCUCUUGCAAUCGAUGACUGUGUAUGUUGAUUUCUUUGUGCUAUCCCUCAGCUAGAUUCAGUAUAUUCCUCGUCACUCAGUCGUAGGUUGGCAGUUUCAAUGGUAAGAGGUUCCAUCCCAACUAUAGAGAAGAAAGAAAAAGUAAAAAAGUAGGAUUAGUGGCCUAUUGUGGUAAUAUAUAUGGUAAGUUGAUCCCGACUACAAUAUCUAUAAUUGGAAUUGGAAUCUUUAAAAUCCACGUUGAAAUUGUAUAAGAUCAUAUGGGAUACAAAAAUAUAUUCCUCUGUUUGAAGAGGACAUAGAGCUUCAGAAUGGUCGAAGUUCAUUUCCUAAAGAAAUUUCUAAAGGUUAGCUUUCUAAAGCUUUUUCUUACUAACACAAUAUAUUGAUGUCAUUAGGGCGUUAGGAUGGCUUUUGUUCUUAUUGUAGGGAAUGGAAAGUUUAUUUUCUAUGAUCUAACUAAAGACCUCAUCAGACCAAUUGAUAUCUCAUCUAUGAACUGUACUCUUGCAGGUUUGAUGAGUAUCUUACCAUAGCAUGCUAACCAAGGACUCGAAGUUGAAGCCAUUUAAAUAUGGAGAUAUCAGAUCGGCACAUAAAUUCUAUGGAGCCUCGUUCAAAAGAAUUUUGAACUAUAUUCAUAUUAUCAAUUGCUACAUCUGUCAUGACAUGCCUUGUUCUUAUUAUCAAUUGCUACAUCGGAGACACCUCUCUGUAUCUUAUCUUCUACCAUAGUGUCGGUAUAACUUUCAGUCCUAAGAUCUGCAUAAUUUAAAGAAAGUGAUUGAAGAGAUGAUCAGUUUUGUGCCUAUUAAGUAUUCAUUUCAUUUUAUAAGUAUUCGUUGAUAUAUAAUUGAAAUAUACCUUCAAUAUAUACUCUGUGACAAUAUAGUUUUCUUAUCCAUCCAUUGCAGCUGCCUACAUAGGAGAAAAGUAAGGAAAAUUUCAUUGACAACCUUCAACAUUUUGUUCCAUUUAUUUCAAAUUCAAAUAGAAGAUCAUAUGGGAGCUCACUAUGGUUGGAGAUUUUAAAAGAGAAAUUCUAAUUAAAAUUUUGUAUCUCACCUUCAUGAAGUUAUCGAUAUCAGGAUCCGGCAUAAUAUUGGCUGCGUUCUCUCUUCUUGAUAGCUCUAGUUAACAUAUCUGUAUAGUCUCAGUGGAGAUGAUUUAUAUUUUGUGAUUCCAGUUAAAAGAAAAGGGUGCCCAUUUAGAUUACAGAGUCAUGAUGUAUCUAAUAUUGUGAUUGUGAGAUUGAUUUCAUCCAUGCUUCCACGGCCAAUGAUGAAAAAGUAAAGCUUGUGCUGAAGUAAAAUCUCUAUUUCGUGGAGUCACCUUUCCCAGAGGUGCUGAAGACGUUGCUUAGAGAUGAAGUUAUAGCCAGGGCACGGAUUACUCCUGAUGUCGUCCCAAUGUUUCAGUGGGACUCUCUGUAGUUUAUUGCAAACAAUCUCAAAACUGGAAUCCUGUU